rnacentral:lncRNA from 1 species
GGGAACCAAAUCAUGCUGCUGCUGCUGCUGCUGAUGAUGAUGAUGAUGGUGAUGAUAAUGAAGAUGAGGAGUAGGAGGAGUACCAAGGUGAUGAUGGGUGCGGGGAGGCGGGCGAGGGGCCGCCGAGGAGCGCCCGGGAGGUGGGGAUGCCAUUGAGUGGUGGAUCCAUGCACGAGUGGUGGAUCCAUGCACAAGUGGACACCAGGACAGGGAACUGUUGCAGACCCAUCCCUUUCGCCCCAACUCCACCGCCCUCCAUUUCCCGCCUUCCCAUCACCUCCCCUCGCCCUCCUCCUCCUCCUCCUCACCCCUUCUCCCAGCCCCCUUCCCCCCAAACCCACCC